rnacentral:antisense_RNA from 1 species
AGAAGGCUUCCACGACGGCAACGUUUAGGGGGCCUUUUUUCUUUUGC